rnacentral:rRNA from 1 species
GACGUAGGGCGCGAGCGUUGUCCGGAUUUAUUGGGCGUAAAGAGCUCGCAGGCGGCUUGUCGCGUCGACUGUGAAAUCCCGCGGCUCAACUGCGGGUCUGCAGUCGAUACGGGCAGGCUAGAGUUCGGUAGGGGAGACUGGAAUUCCUGGUGUAGCGGUGAAAUGCGCAGAUAUCAGGAGGAACACCGGUGGCGAAGGCGGGUCUCUGGGCCGAUACUGACGCUGAUGCGCGAAAGCCAGGGGAGCGAACGGG